CAGCCGCCGCGGUAAGACGUAGGGCGCAAGCGUUGUCCGGAUUUAUUGGGCGUAAAGAGCUCGUAGGCGGCCUGUCGCGUCAACCGUGAAAUCCCGUGGCUUAACUGCGGGCGUGCGGUUGAUACGGGUGGGCUAGAGUUCGGUAGGGGAGACUGGAAUUCCUGGUGUAGCGGUGAAAUGCGCAGAUAUCAGGAGGAACACCGGUGGCGAAGGCGGGUCUCUGGGCCGAUACUGACGCUGAGGAGCGAAAGCGUGGGGAGCGAACAGGAUUAGAUACCCUGGUAGUCCACGCCGUAAACGUUGGGCGCUAGGUGUGGGGGACCUUCCCGGUCUUCUGUGCCGUAGCUAACGCAUUAAGCGCCCCGCCUGGGGAGUACGGCCGCAAGGCUAAAACUCAAAGGAAUUGACGGGGGCCCGCACAAGCGGCGGAGCAUGCGGAUUAAUUCGAUGCAACGCGAAGAACCUUACCUGGGUUUGACAUGCCGGGAAAUCCUUCAGAGAUGGAGGGUGCCUUCGGGCGUCCGGCACAGGUGGUGCAUGGCC
rnacentral:rRNA from 1 species